rnacentral:sRNA from 1 species
CUGCUAAAUAUGAAAUUUAUAUGGUCUACAUGAUCCAUUCAAGUUACCUGUGGUCUGCAGACAUAACUGACAUAAGAGAUAUAACACAAAAGAAAAAGAGGAGGCCUAGUUAAGAUUUCCCCUUCAGUGUGCAGAACUCAUACAGUUUCUGGAUGUGCUACAAAAAAAAAAACAAAAAAAACAAAAAAAAACAAAAAAACCCACUGAAUCAUCCAUUUUGAAAAUACAAAGCAAACCUUUGCCUGCUGAGAAAAGCCAGGGUCCACUCUGCAGCUCCUCAGAACUGUUGACACCCUUCUCACCAAAAAAAGAAAAACCCAAACUAGCCAAGACCUUUAGGAAUCUCUUUUCCCAGAGGCUGUAUACUCCUAUGCUCCCCUAAUGUCUUCUUUUUCUAACUAUCUCCCCCUCCAUUUUGCCACCCUUGAACCCUGAGCGCAGCACAGAAUGUUGGAGGCCCAAGAUUCUAUAGUGGCUGUUUGCUGGGGCCGGUCAACCUCCCUAACUGUCACAACGGUUUCAUAUGCAUCCGAAGAACGAUCCUAGCAUAGCACUCGAGAUGCAUAGGCCGGAGGGCUGGUCUUAGGUUGGAUGCCUGAUUGAGUCAAGUAGUAAGUUCUAGAUCAGGCUGAGUUACAGAGUAAGGCCCUGUCUCAAAAAAGAAGACAAAGAAAGAGAGGAGAGGAGAGAGCACCUUAAUGCUUUUCUUGUAUGGGAAAUCAAGGUAAAGGGAUGUCUGUGCAGCCAAGGAAGCAAAGCAUGGCCAGACGAAUUGCCACAAAGUCCGAGAGAGGAAAAACUCACAAAGUGAGAGCAGAAGAGAGAGAUGAAUCUUCAGACCUGAAUCAACCCAGCCCAAGGAAGCCAAGAAACUGAGAGACAUAAGAGUAGACUUGGACCACGUAAGAUGCAGUCAGUGAGUCACAGAGAGCUCUUCUGUCCCUUCCUCCCAUCCUCUAAAGCCUUUGGAAGCCGCCGUGAGUUCCCCAGUCAGAUGCACUGAAACACUUUCAUGUGAACUUGAAUUGUUCUCUGAGGCCUCUCCUUCGGGUCUUGCCAAGGACAUUAUCUGUCUAUUUAAUACGUACGGAUGCUACUCUAUUAGAAGGCUAAAGAUUUUAUUAAUGAACACUUCUAAGAAACACUGAGAUGAUCUCCUUAACAUAAGAGCCCAAAGAAAGGGGGACCUGCCAGCUCCCAGUCAGGCAGUGCAGGCAGGGCUGCGCCCGCUCAGAGUGCCCACCCAAUCCUGCCUUUGGGGGGCAUCUAACCUUUCUUUUGCAGCUGCUCCUAUCCAGGAACGUUGUGCAAUUAUUGGAGUCUGGAAUACAAUGAGUGUACACUAGGGAGCUUCCACCCCAUCUGAGAAGGAGCUGGUCCACAUUCCCACCUGGUCAUCAAGAUGUCAGUCUCCCACCUCAAGAGUGGGUCUAGUUCGAAGCCUGCUCGGGAAUACAGCCCAAUUCAAACCUUCUAUCUUGCUGCUACUGGGAAAUAGCAUCAUCCCCGAGGCGUUGACCCACUACAAAGACAAUGACAGAAGAUGGCUGCUUCUCGUAUAAUACCUCACGAGAGAUGCCUGCAGCUUCCGUUUCCUGUGACUGACACCCCACUUGUCCUUGUGUGUUCAUGCAUCUCAUCAUUGCUAGACGAAUUUAAAGAAUACAGCACAUUCCUAGAGCUGAGUUAUUCAUUCUGGACUCUUGAAAAAAAAAUACACCAGAGGUAUGGGACACGUAGAGUCAAUGAUAACAGCACAGAAGUACGGGAAAAAAGGGGAGGAAUUUGCUGAGAGAGUUAUCCUCCCAGAAGAGCUGGAAAAACUCUGACAGAAACUCUCCAGAGAGUCGGGGAGCAUAGAUCCUCACCUACCUGAGUCACUGGCCCCUGAUAAAGUCCUUGUGAAGAUGUCCCCACAGAUUAGGAUAAGCCAUACAGGAAGAAACCUGUUACAUAGACAUCAUCACAACAAGUCACAGCUGGUUUGUACCAAGAUGUCCUCACCACGUUAGUGUCACCCACACAGGAUGGAACUGCUACACAGACAACACACCGGCCAAGCUGCCACUGGUUGGUGAUGUAGAGAAGCUCUGUGAAGAAAUGGUCCCUUUGACAUCUGGCUCAGACACACAAGCUAAAGAGAAUGUCAUGAUAAUUAGGCCAGGUAAAGUCACCUCUGCCUCCCCACUUGGAAAAGCUGUGUGAAAACACAGUGCCCAUAUCACUUGCGUCAACCAGACAGUCUUCAGUCUGCGACAGUGAUACUAUCAACUAAGCCAACAUUGGUUUGUGUUUUGGGAGAGCCUCAUAUAGCUGUGGCUCCCCACCAUACCUGAGUCAGCCUCACAGACUUCACAGACUGGAAUACAAUAACAAGGUGAGAAGCCCAGGCCUGAGAACAAGUGUGUUGAUCCCUGUCCAGGAGGAUGGUCCCAACUCAAUGAAGAAAUCUUCAUCCACUGGGUUUCUGACGUUAGGCUGGAUCCAUGUAUGCAAAUGUGACUCUCUGAGGGCUUGUCCCCCUUCUCGUCACUUAAAAAACCCCUAAAUCUUGUGUCUCUGGACAGAGUAGAUCGAAUCCAGAUUACGCCGCUCUUCUUGCAUGUGGUUCCCUGAUGGUUAGUGUUCACUCCUGGGUCACGAACAUUUCCCAGGGCUUUUACACUUUCCCAGUCUCUGAAAGAUAGAUAGAUGAUAGGUACAUAGAUAGAUAAAUCUGUGUCAGCAACUUUCAGGUAUACACUACAGCGUUUUGUGCUGCAUGUGCACCAUUUGACAUUAAGGUUGUCUUGAAAUUAACCAAGAAAUGGGCAUCUUCUCACACACUGAAGUUAAACUCCCUUUAUUCACAGUGCUGGCAAGGAACUUUCUGUGAAGUGUAAUUCUCCACAAUUAUACGUAUAUUCCUCAUAGUUGCAAAUAGAUCUACACUGGAAGAGGCGUCGGAGACAGCUGUUGAAAGCUCCUUAGCCCUGGUUUCCUUGACAGACAGGCAUGACUGGCUGGACUCACUGAGAAUUCUGACUUGUUCCCCUCUCAGACCCAACCCAUCCAACUCAGAUGGCCUUUUUGUCUAACAUAGUCUACACAUGUACGUACACUUGUACCAUACAUAUUAACGAAUGCAGUUGUGUGCUCCACUAAACAUAGGAAAUACACGGGUUAUCUGGGCAUUGCAGGGAGGAAAGUGUCUCUACUGAGACCUUAAAAAAUAAGCAAACCCCAUAAAAUAUGGCAUUAGCUGGCUGCUCUAAAAGGCACCCUUUAAUCUCAUGUUCCGAUGAACCCAACUUGACCCUUUAAAAACACGCAUUUGUGGCAACCUUGUUGCUUUUCUAAGAAAACCCUUCAAGAAGUCUGAACUAUUUGAAGUGAUGGGAACCCCAAGAGCCUGAAGGACAGACGCCCCACAUCACCCUCCUUCUCAGAAAGGGAUUCUCUUUCCUUCCUGUAUCCACUUUAACUUCACACGAGUGUGGGGCGGCCGUGCCUGUGUUUUAAUUAUUCUGCACCGCUAUCACGCAGGACUCUGUGGGCCCUAUUUGCAACAUUUUUCUUCUCUUCCCUACCGGUUGAAAAUGUUCUCGAUCGAUAUAACUCUUUACUUUGGCUAUUUUCUUUCUUUCUAUUCAUUUCUGAUGAGUUAACUCUAGGGACUUUUUAAACCUUUCAGCUCAAGAAUUCCUGUUUAAUUCUCAUUAAUAGUUGCUAGAUAAAUCAUCUAUGACCCACUGGCCAGAGAACUGUAUGCCAGUAUCCUGGUGUGUGGUCAUUGGUGUGAGGGGAGAGAAG